rnacentral:rRNA from 1 species
AAACGUAGGGGGCGAGCGUUAUCCGGAAUUAUUGGGCGUAAAGCGCAUGCAGGCGGUUGUACAAGUUGGUUGUGAAAGCUCACGGCUUAACCGAGAGAGGCCAGCCAAAACUGUAUGACUUGAGGUGGGCAGAGGAGAGUGGAAUUCCCGGUGUAGUGGUGGAAUGCGUAGAGAUCGGGAGGAACACCAGUGGCGAAAGCGGCUCUCUGGACCUGACCUGACGCUCAGAUGCGAAAGCGUGGGGAGCAAACGGGAUUAGAAACCCCGGUAGUCC